rnacentral:rRNA from 1 species
UUGAAAGGGAAACGAUUGAAGUCAGUCGUACCGACGAGGAUCAACCUUUGAAAGCGGGUCGAGGUAUUCGAGGAGUUUAAAAGCCCUCUUGCGCUCACGUACUUCGUUUUCUUUGGUGCACUUCUUCGUAUGGUAGGUUAACAUCAAUUUUGGACGUUACAAAAUGAUCGGGGGAAUGUAGCUUCGAUUUUUUCGAAGUGUUAUAGACCUUGGUAGAUGUGACGACCGGGAUUGAGGAUUGCAACGAAUGCUUUCGGGCUAUCCGUCUGACCUCUGGUGGUUGCUUUAGGGUCGAAAGCGUGCUUACGACUUUAAAGUUGGCUAUCAAAAGGCUAGAACGUGAUUAAAUUCGUUAAGGAUGUUGACGUA